AUAUUGAUUGUGCUUUGGCAACUAGAUGCAGUGCUAGGCUUCACUCUGCAAGGUGUUUAAAAAGAAAAACAGGGAGUGGAAUAAUGCAAACAGUGCCUCUCUGUAGAUGGGAACUUUGCUUCAUGGGACAUUACAUUCCCAGUAGCAGCAUCAGAAGCUUCAGAAAGUGCCGGAGAGUCAGUUAAGUCCUCAUUGCUGCCCAGUGCCAAUGCUAGCAACAACGCUGCACACCUGCUGUUUCCAGGUUUGGUGUUUCAUUCUGCAGGAAGUACAGUUCAAACAGCCCAUUUCUCUUGCUU